UACAGAGGGGGCAAGCGUUGUUCGGAAUUACUGGGCGUAAAGGGCGCGUAGGCGGCCCGCUAAGUCGAACGUGAAAUCCCCAGGCUCAACCUGGGAACUGCAUCCGAUACUGGAUGGCUUGAAUUCGGGAGAGGGAUGCAGAAUUCCAGGUGUAGCGGUGAAAUGCGUAGAUAUCUGGAGGAAUACCGGUGGCGAAGGCGGCAUCCUGGACCGACAUUGACGCUGAUGAGCGAAAGCUAGGGGAGCAAACGGG
rnacentral:rRNA from 1 species